rnacentral:lncRNA from 1 species
CCAGCCUCGCCUCCAGCGGGGCGGCCAUCUCGCACGACAGCCUCAGCACUUCGGAUAGGUCGACGCCGCCGUCGGACGGCGGGAGCCAUUCCAACUCGUGGAGGAGGGUGGCGAGCCAGGACACGACGGUAGCCAUCGCGAGGGACUUGCCGGGGCAGCUCCGCCUGCCGGACCCGAACGGCGCGAGCCUGAGGUCCGAACCCAUGAUCGGGAACUCGUCGGCGUGAUCCGACGAGCCCGCCAGGAACCUCUCGGGUUUGAACUCCGUCGGGUCGGACCAGACGGCCGGGUCGUGGGUUAUGGCCCACAUGUUCACCAUGGCGGUGGUCCCGGCGGGUACCAGGUACCCGCCCACGUGGACGUCCGACGUGGCGAGGCGUGCCCAGGAGAGGAGCGGCCCCGGCGGGUGCAGGCGCAGCACUUCCUUGAUGACCGCCUGGAGGUAGACAAGCGAGGCGGUGUCCGCCUCCGUCACGGCCUUGCCCGGCCCGACCACCCGGUCCAGCUCCUCGUGGACCCUCCGCUGCACGUCCUGGUGCAGCACCAGCCGGGCCAGCACCCACUCCAUCAG